CAGCCGCCCGGGAAUACGAAGGGGGCUAGCGUUGCUCGGAAUGACUGGGCGUAAAGGGCGCGUAGGCGGUUCGUACAGUUGGAUGUGAAAUUCCUGGGCUUAACCUGGGGGCUGCAUUCAAUACGUGCGGGCUAGAAUGUGGAAGAGGGUUGUGGAAUUCCCAGUGUAGAAGUGAAAUUCGUAGAUAUUGGGAAGAACACCGGUGGCGAAGGCGGCAACCUGGUCCAUAAUUGACGCUGAGGCGCGAAAGCGUGGGGAGCAAAUGGGAUUAGAUACCCGGGUAGUCCCUGUCUCUUAUACA
rnacentral:rRNA from 1 species